rnacentral:rRNA from 1 species
UACGUAGGGCGCAAGCGUUAUCCGGAAUUAUUGGGCGUAAAGAGCUCGUAGGCGGUUUGUCGCGUCUGCCGUGAAAGUCCGGGGCUCAACUCCGGAUCUGCGGUGGGUACGGGCAGACUAGAGUGAUGUAGGGGAGACUGGAAUUCCUGGUGUAGCGGUGAAAUGCGCAGAUAUCAGGAGGAACACCAAUAGCGAAGGCAGCUCGCUGGGACGUUACUGACACUGAGGCGCGAAAGCGUGGGGAGCGAACAGG